rnacentral:rRNA from 1 species
CAUAAACGACUCUCGGCAACGGAUAUCUCGGCUCACGCAUCGAUGAAGAACGUAGCAAAAUGCGAUACUUGGUGUGAAUUGCAGAAUCCCGUGAACCAUCGAGUUUUUGAACGCAAGUUGCGCCCAAAGCCAUUCGGCCAAGGGCACGUCUGCCUGGGCGUC